rnacentral:rRNA from 1 species
AGACGGAGGGGGCUAGCGUUGUUCGGAAUUACUGGGCGUAAAGCGCGCGUAGGCGGAUUGAUCAGUCAGAGGUGAAAUCCCAGGGCUCAACCCUGGAACUGCCUUUGAUACUGUCAGUCUUGAGUUCGGGAGAGGUGAGUGGAAUUCCGAGUGUAGAGGUGAAAUUCGUAGAUAUUCGGAGGAACACCAGUGGCGAAGGCGGCUCACUGGCUCGAUACUGACGCUGAGGUGCGAAAGCGUGGGGAGCAAACAGGAUUAGAUACCCGAGUAGUCC